CGUAAACGAUGAGUGCUAGCGUUAGGGGGUUCCCCCCUUUAGUGCUGCAGCUAACGCAUUAAGCACUCCGCUGGGGAGUACGACCGCAAGGUUGAAACUCAAAGGAAUUGACGGGGGCCCGCACAGCGGUGGAGCAUGUGGUUUAAUUCGAAGCAACGCGAAGAACCUUACCAGGUCUUGACAUCCUUUGACCACUCUAGAGAUAGAGCUUUCCCUUCGGGGACAAAGUGACAGGUGGUGCAUGGUUGUCGUCAGCUCGUGUCGUGAGAUGUUGGGUUAAGUCCCGCAACGAGCGCAACCCUUAUUGUUAGUUGCCAUCAUUAAGUUGGGCACUCUAGCGAGACUGCCGGUGACAAACCGGAGGAAGGUGGGGAUGACGUCAAAUCAUCAUGCCCCUUAUGACCUGGGCUACACACGUGCUACAAUGGACAGUACAAUGAGCAGCGACACGGCGACGUGAAGCGAAUCUCAUAAAGCUGUUCUCAGUUCGGAUUGUAGGCUGCAACUCGCCUACAUGAAGCCGGAAUCGCUAGUAAUCGCGGAUCAGCACGCCGCGGUGAAUACGUUCCCGGGCCUUGUACACACCGCCCGUCACACCACGAAAGUUUGUAACACCCGAAGUCGGUGAGGUAACCGCAAGGAGCCAACCGCCUAAGGUGGGAUAGAUGAUUGGGGUGAAGUCGUAACAAGGUAACCAAGGGCGAAUUCUG
rnacentral:rRNA from 1 species